GAUGAAGAACGGCAGCGAAAUGCGAUACUUGGUGUGAAUUGCAGAAUCCCGUGAACCAUCGAGUCUUUGAACGCAAGUUGCGCCCGAAGCCAUUAGGCCGAGGGCACGCCUGCCUGGGCGUCACACGUCGUUGCCCCCCCAUCUACUCCUUCGGGAUUGCGGGGGGCGGAUGAUGGCCUCCCGUGCGCCUCGUCGCGCGGUUGGCAUAAAUGCCAAGUCCUCGGCGACGCACGCCACGACAAUCGGUGGUUGCGAAACCUCGGUUGCCCGUCGUGUGCGGUCGUCGCGCAUCGAGGGCUCGAAAAAAUUGCCGGGCUCCGGCUCGGCUUUCAACGCGACCCCAGGUCAGGCGGGGUUACCCGCUGAAUUUAAGCAUAUCAAUAAGCGGAGGA
rnacentral:misc_RNA from 1 species